CUGCAGUCAAUUAAGCUGACCAUCUUCCUUUCCGUGUGGGGACCAGUAAGCAAUAACUGAAAACUGCAGCCUCCUUGGUAGUGUCUAGACCCUAUUUCUUAUUUGGGUUUCUUUGAAGGACCUUGGAAACAGCC
rnacentral:snoRNA from 1 species